AAGUCGAACGCGACUUGGGCUUCGGCCUAAGUUGAGUGGCGAACGGGUGAGUAACACGUGGGUGACCUACCUUCGAGUGGGGGAUAACGUCCCGAAAGGGACGCUAAUACCGCAUAACAUCCUGCCUUUGAACAGGUGGAGAUCAAAGCCGGGGAUCGCAAGACCUGGCGCUUGAUGAGGGGCCCGCGUCUGAUUAGCUAGUUGGUGGGGUAAUGGCUCACCAAGGCGACGAUCAGUAUCCGGCCUGAGAGGGCGGACGGACACACUGGGACUGAGACACGGCCCAGACUCCUACGGGAGGCAGCAGUGGGGAAUUGUUCGCAAUGGGCGCAAGCCUGACGACGCAACGCCGCGUGGAGGAUGAAGGUCUUCGGAUUGUAAACUCCUGUUGCUCGGGACGAAAAGCUUCGACCUAACACGUCGAAGUCUGACGGUACCGAGUGAGGAAGCCCCGGCUAACUCUGUGCCAGCAGCCGCGGUAAUACAGAGGGGGCAAGCGUUGUUCGGAAUUACUGGGCGUAAAGGGCGCGUAGGCGGCCUGCUAAGUCGAACGUGAAAUCCCUGGGCUCAACCCAGGAACUGCGUCCGAUACUGGUUGGCUUGAAUCCGGGAGAGGGAUGUGGAAUUCCAGGUGUAGCGGUGAAAUGCGUAGAUAUCUGGAGGAACACCGGUGGCGAAGGCGACAUCCUGGACCGGUAUUGACGCUGAGGCGCGAAAGCCAGGGGAGCAAACGGGAUUAGAUACCCCGGUAGUCCUGGCCCUAAACGAUGAAUGCUUGGUGUGGUGGGGUAUCGAUCCCUACCGUGCCGAAGCUAACG
rnacentral:rRNA from 1 species